rnacentral:rRNA from 1 species
GAUGAACGCUAGCGGCAGGCUUAAUACAUGCAAGUCGAGGGGCAGCACGGAUAGCAAUAUUUGGUGGCGACCGGCGCACGGGUGCGUAACACGUAUACAACCUACCUAUAACAGGGGGAUAGCCUUUCGAAAGAGAGAUUAAUACCCCGUAAUAAAUUGAGUGGCAUCACUUGAUUUUGAAAGUUACGGCGGUUAUAGAUGGGUAUGCGUCCUAUUAGCUAGUUGGUGAGGUAACGGCUCACCAAGGCGACGAUAGGUAGGGGAUCUGAGAGGACUAACCCCCACACUGGUACUGAGACACGGACCAGACUCCUACGGGAGGCAGCAGUAAGGAAUAUUGGUCAAUGGAGGCAACUCUGAACCAGCCAUGCCGCGUGCAGGAUGACGGCCCUAUGGGUUGUAAACUGCUUUUGUACCAGAGAAAACCUACUCACGUGUGAGUAGCUGAUAGUAUGGUAAGAAUAAGCAUCGGCUAACUUCGUGCCAGCCGCCGCCGUAAUAC